AGUGAACGCUGGCGGUAGGCCUAACACAUGCAAGUCGAACGGCAGCACAGUAAGAGCUUGCUCUUACGGGUGGCGAGUGGCGGACGGGUGAGGAAUACAUCGGAAUCUACUUUUUCGUGGGGGAUAACGUAGGGAAACUUACGCUAAUACCGCAUACGCCCUACGGGUGAAAGCAGGGGAUCUUCGGACCUUGCGCGAUUGAAUGAGCCGAUGUCGGAUUAGCUAGUUGGCGGGGUAAAGGCCCACCAAGGCGACGAUCCGUAGCUGGUCUGAGAGGAUGAUCAGCCACACUGGAACUGAGACACGGUCCAGACUCCUACGGGAGGCAGCAGUGGGGAAUAUUGGACAAUGGGCGCAAUCCUGAUCCAGCCAUACCGCGUGGGUGAAGAAGGCCUUCGGGUUGUAAAGCCCUUUUGUUGGGAAAGAAAAGCAGCAGGUUAAUACCCCGCUGUUCUGACGGUACCCAAAGAAUAAGCACCGGCUAACUUCGUG
rnacentral:rRNA from 1 species